CCAAGGCAAGGACUCAAGUCCCAGGAAACAUUUUAACAAUGCAAGGUCUAUAAACUUUAAGUAUUCAGGGGCAAUGCAAACCAAAUAUGCUAAAAGCUUAUCUAGAAUGCCUGAAGUCCAUGCUAAAAGCUUACCUAAGACAUGGAAGAUAUAUGCUAAUUCAAGCCUAUUGAGAACUGAAAGAAAGGGACCAUUUAACCUUUCCUCUCUGUAUAAAAGGAACUUAAAAGUCUUGUUCAGGGCUCUGGAUUGAAACAGAAAGCUCCCGAGUCCAGCCGGUUGUCAAUAAACCAUUUUUCCUUCUCAAAAUCAUUCCUGAGUCCUGGCCUCUCUAUAUGCAAAUAAUUGAACCUCUCUCAAAUUCUACAACAUUUCAGCCUGACUUCUUGCUUUCAGGGUUCUGUACUGUCCUCUCCCUGUUUCAAGCACACACAGAGGAGACAGAGGUGUUCUCCUUUACAGAACAGAAAGAGGAGUUGGAAGUGGAUUGCUACUUAUUGAGGUCUGUGAAAGGUCCAACAGAAGCAGAAUGCAAAGUCCUAAGGCUCAAAGUGGAGAUUUCUUGAAAAAAGCUUUGAGUCAAGGAGGAUGGCCACCGAAGAGAAGCUGGAACACAAAGCAUGCAAGUGGCAUGAAUGCCACUUACAGCUUUUUGAGGAAGAGGAAAAAUCAAGGGUGGUGGCUGAGGAAGUCAAGUACUACAAACUGGAAAUAUCACAGAAAAAUAAGAUAUUGGUGCUGGGAAUGCCUGACGUGGAUGCCCCUCCACAGAGAGAUCCAGGACCUGGUGCAGCUCCCCUGAGGAACAGCAGCUCCGGAAGCUCAUUCCCUGCUGGGUGGACAAGGGAGGGCAAGAUGCCAGACCUGCUUCCUCCUCCCUGUUGGAGCAACCACCAGCCUUCCCGCGCUCUUCCUGCCAUCCCGGAAGGCCCAGCUGCCGCCUCUCACUCUGGGUCCUCACCUCUCCUCCUGCAGAUUUGAAGGUGCUUGGAGAUGCCCGUCCCACCUGGGGUGCUCGGCCCACAGCCUCCUCCCUUGCAAUGUCCCGUUCUUCUCUCCCCAUCGGAUACCCACUUCCGUGACCAGGUCCUGUGCCUUGUCAUCUCUGCUACCUGGGAGACCCCAAACACCAUCUCCCCACAACCUUCCUGUCACUCUCAGUCACCUUCUCUUGAAUCCCUGACUUGACAAUUAUCUAACGUCCUUCAGUUGUCUGACACUUUGCCACAGUCUGCUCUGUCUGUAAAUGUGCAUUGACUUAAUUUUUACCCAUUGGACUCUUGGAAAAAACUCCUUUUUCUCUCCCCAUUUUAACUCUACAUGCUUGCUAACAUAUGAACCUGAUAUAUAUAAAAUAUAUCCACCUGUGUACCUGAGUCCAAGGUCAC
rnacentral:lncRNA from 1 species